AUAGGAGGAAGGAAGUGAGAUAAAUGGAGCAGGGAGAAGGAGAAAGAGGGGGCUAAAAGAGAGAAGCGUCCACAUGCAUCCCAUGAUAAUGCAGCACUUUAAGCUCCAGCUCGUGGUGGCGUUGGGCCUGCCAGGAACAGCAGGAGCGGCCCACACCUUCUCCGGAAGAGAAGAAGCUACCGCUGGGUCAUGGCGCCAUCGUGUGGCAGCACAGAGGGGAGAGGAGACAUUUCAAUGUGAGGUGCACAGAUUGACAUAAUAUGCUUGCCAUUAUUGGUUAAGUCCCAACAUAUGAUCAUAUCAAAUGGGGCCUCGAAAUGUUAUAAUUUUAGCAAAAAUAUUUGAUCUACAAAUAUUGCUACCUCUACAUUUCUCCAGUAUUUAUUGGUUCUCUUGAUAACAUUGAAUUAUGCAAAAAAAUCUAUUGAAUGUUGCAAAAGUAAAUUUCUACACACUUGCUUUUUCUUACUGUUUUCUUUCUAUAAUGCUCUCAGUUUGAAUUCAUUUAAUGAACACUGAUGUGAUGAGCCUUUUUCUGAUCUCUUUGAAAAAACUGUUCAAUAAAGUUGGUCUGGUAAAGUUAAAUCUUUAUAUUUAUAAGAAUUGACAUAGAUAUGACAUGGAAAUAUAUAUAUACAUAUAUCAAAUAAAAUACUUUAAUGGAAAAAAUUGAAAAAUGUUAAAAUUCUGACAGAUUUUAUUAUAUUAUUAGCAGGAAUCUGACAGCUGUUAGUAUAAAAACGAUCAGAGAUUCUAUAUAUUCUUAAGAAGACUUUUAACUACUUUAAGCCAUGCCACUACAGACCAAACACGACAUGAAGACUAAAGUAAUAUUUAAUAAGGCUUUCAUUCAUGGAGCUGUUACCCAAGUCUUUACGCCUCGUAAACUCACUACAUUUACAGGGCUGCACAUGGGUUCCCCAACCGAAAAAUAUGACUUGAAAAAGAUAUCCAUUAAAUACCCUCUUGUGUAGAUGCUGCACUCGGUUGAUGUGUGUGUGUUUGUUUGGGAGCCCCUGGGUUAAAGGUGCUGUCAUCGGAUCUGAUGGAGGGAGGGAGGAGGAAGAGGAGGAAGAGGAGGAGGGGGGGUAGAGGAGUGGACAGACACUGGUAGCGGAGGGGGAGGCGUUUGGAUCGGCGAAGACGGGGAGUGAACCAGCAGAGAGGGUGAGAAAGCAGCGGAUCUGGCCCUUUAAAUCACAAAUACAGCGCUUUCGGAGGGACAAGCCAAUGUGAGCUCACCUGCAGUCCAGCUCCGGCGUUUCGACUUGGCAUUGAAUUGUUUUCUUGUCAUUCCUGCACCGCUAACAUCUCCAUCCAGUCACGCUUUCACGAGAGUCCUGUCUGCCACCACC